UACGGAGGGUGCAAGCGUUGUUCGGAAUUACUGGGCGUAAAGCGCACGUAGGCGGGUCUGUGUGUCGAUUGUGAAAGCCCUGGGCUCAACCUGGGAAUUGCAGUCGAAACUGCGGAUCUUGAAUACCUGAGAGGGUGGGGGAAUUCCUGGUGGAGAGGUGAAAUUCGUAGAUAUCAGGAGGAACACCUGAGGCGAAGGCGCCUGCCUGGCAGUGUAUUGACGCUGAGGUGCGAAAGCGUGGGUAGCAAACAGGAUUAG
rnacentral:rRNA from 1 species